CAUGAAGGGCGGCGACCGCGGGUACACCCGAGGUCCCUCUUUGGGGUGGCUCUUUGCGAAGUGCUGCUGUUGUUUCCCAUGCAGAGAUCUGAAAUAUGUGAAGAUGGAAAACUGGGGCUCGGAUAUGAGGAAGAUGGUGGGGGAGCUCUCUUUCAAAGAGCUCCUGGUGGCCACGGGGCAGGGUGAUGGCAUCUGAGGUGUUGGGCCCUGCCCUGGGGCUCCCUGAGUCUGAUCUAACAGAGAUGGGAGCUCUGAGACCCCGCCCAGCCUAUAGGCAUCUCUUCAGAAGCAGACUGAAAAGAUAAGGUCUUGUACUGAACUUGCAUGCCUUGUCCAGAGCCCCAAAACUCUGGGAAGAAUUGCCCAGUUGCAACAUAGCGAAGGGCCCAGGGAAGAGGCUGAUGGGAGUGGAGGGCAUCCGCAUCAGGGACCUCCCUGUUGGCCUCCCGUUUCAGUUAAACCAGUUUCUCUGGUUGUACAGAUGACUCUGAAGCUAAUGGGUCAGAACCCGCUACUGUGCUUCCCUAGUCAAGGGGCCUUGACUAACUGGCUUCCAGUCACUCAGCAUUUAAAGGACACCUCCUCCUCAAGUCUGAGAAAAGGGAACCAAGAGGAAGUGGAAUGUUCUGCUUAUUUUUGACUCAAAGCUAAGCUAUCCUGGACUUGCUCUGAUGAAUCCUAAGUGGUUGUGUUUGCUCACACUGGGGUGAAAGUUAUUUAGAAGAACAUACCUGUGUGGCCUUCAGAGAUCCUAUUUGAGAAAAAUAUGGACCAAUAUGGUGGAGUUUGUCUUUUUGCAAAAGCAAGGAAGGCAGCUGUCUUGUGUUCUUUCAGGUCUGUUGAGUGUGGCAAAGAGGUUUGGUGAAAGAUGGUCUUCCUUCCUGACCUUGAAAUUAGUAUCGAAGGGCAGAAAAACUGAAAACCAAGGGUAGAAUGGAUAUAGAGAUGAGUGAGAAGAAAGAAAGACAGCGAAUAUAUUUAUAACUGCCUUUUUGGAUGUGAAAAAGAGCCAAAUGUGAGAUAAUGGCAUGUGUGUCUAAAGGAUGAUUAAUCAUUGAUAUCAAGCUCUCUGAAAAGUUUCGGUGUUGCUUUGGCUAUUUAGACAUUCCUCUGCACCUGAAGAAGUGGGCGCAUUCUGGAUUCUUCUUUAGCAAUCUUAAAAUUUUCAAAAGCAACUUGUUUCCGAGGGACCAAAAGGAUUUUGAGUCCCCUGGAGGUUGCUAAGAUUUUGCAGACUGGAAUAUGUGACUUCUUAGAUGACGGAGCCUAGAGUUUUUUCUGAGCUGGCUAGGUAGAAGCCAGUUGUAGAGCCUUUAAUUUACCAGUGAACUUGUAAUUAACUGUGAGUAUGUGGACAAAAGUCUCUUCUUGGAAGCCUUUCCUGACCGCUACCCACCUCUGCUUCUCCAUCGUGUGCAUUGGGGUUAUUUAUACUUGUUUCCAGUUUGUAUCAUUGUCAUUGCAUCUCAAGCCCUUGUGCCAUCACGUCUCCCCAUUUAGACUGUGAGACAGUGCCUGGUUCAGGAGACUGAGUAUCUCAGAGGUAAAGAGAGGAAAGGCCGGUAACUUAGCCAAGCUGAGUCAGCCCACCGGAGAGGUGCUGGCACCACAUUCCCAUGGUUCUUCCACCACAGGGGUGGUUGGGUCUCCCAUCACCAGGUCUGGGUAGGGCUGAUGGGGGUGUACAGGGCAUCCCAAGUCAUCCUCAUCUAUAAUUCCCCAGCCACCACCUUCCCAGAAUCACUCAACAGGAACCUUAUGUCUUGAUGCGAAUGUCUCGUCUUUGGCCCAUGAAUUAAGACAGCUCAUUUAAUAAACUGAAUUUAAUGUAUAAAACCAUAACACUGAGUUCUUUUAGAAAGGUGUGGGUAACCUCAAAGAGGAAUAAAAGUGACGAGAUUCAAGAGGAACAUCACUAAGCAGGACACCAAAGAUACACCUCCAGACUAAGGUAGGCCUGUAACAUUGUCUGGGCUCGGAAGUGAAUCCCUCAUGUUCACUUCAAAAAA